GGUCAGUUUUUCCUCCUCUGUCAGUUCUUUUUUUGCUGUUAAACAGAGACAGGGAUACAAACUGACCCC
rnacentral:pre_miRNA from 1 species